UUUGUGUUAAAACUUUCUGAAUAUAAAUUUCAUGUUGAGCUUUGAAAUUUAAAUAGAUU
rnacentral:tRNA from 1 species